UACGAAGGGUGCAAGCGUUGCCCGGAAUUAUUGGGCGUAAAGCGCUCGUAGGCGGCUUAUCAAGUCGGAUGUGAAAUCCCUCGGCUCAACCAAGGAAGUGCAUCCGAAACUGCUGAGCUUGAGUACGAAAGAGGAUCGCGGAAUUCCCGGUGUAGAGGUGAAAUUCGUAGAUAUCGGGAGGAACACCAGUGGCGAAGGCGGCGAUCUGGGUCGAUACUGACGCUGAGGUGCGAAAGCGUGGGGAGCAAACAGG
rnacentral:rRNA from 1 species